UUCAAAUCCUAAUCCGACUCCAAACUCGAAAUCCAAACCUGAAUUCGAACCCGAUCCCGUACCCGAUGAAUUUUAAAAAUUCAUAUUCAAAUCCGAAUCCGACCAAAAAUUUAAAAUCCAAACCCGAAACAAUUAUUUCUCUCUUCAAUAUUUCAAAAUAUAUUACAUUAAAUCUAAAUUUUUAAAAUACAAAUUCAAAUAUAACUUCAAAUUUUUAUAUACAUAUAAUGUAAAAUAAAUUCGGGUUCGGGUCGGUUGGGGUUCGGAUUGAGUUCAGUCAAAAUUCAUAUCCGAAUUCAUAUACGUCGAGUUUUUGUUUUUAAUAUCCAUAUUCAAAAUUAUAUCCGUUUAGUAUCGAAUAAAUUUGCUCCGUUCGAAUUCGAAUUUAGAUAAAAUUUCGGAUACCCAUACCCACUAACAUCCCUAAGCAUAACUACUUCUUAAAAAUGAAAUAAUAAUGAU
rnacentral:lncRNA from 1 species